UACGUAGGGUGCAAGCGUUAAUCGGAAUUACUGGGCGUAAAGCGUGCGCAGGCGGACUUAUAAGUCAGUGGUGAAAUCUCACAGCUUAACUGUGAAACUGCCUUUGAUACUGUAGGUCUUGAAUUAGGGAGAGAUUCGUGGAAUUCCGAGUGUAGCAGUGAAAUGUGUAGAUAUUCGGAAGAACACCAGAGGCGAAGGCAGCGAAUUGGCCCUAUAUUGACGCUCAGGCACGAAAGCAUGGGGAUCAAACAGG
rnacentral:rRNA from 1 species